rnacentral:rRNA from 1 species
UGAGGGAAAGGCGAAAAGAACCCCGGCGAGGGGAGUGAAAAAGAACCUGAAACCGUGUACGUACAAGCAGUGGGAGCACAGGUUUACCUGUGUGACUGCGUACCUUUUGUAUAAUGGGUCAGCGACUUAUAUUCUGUAGCAAGGUUAACCGAAUAGGGGAGCCGGAGGGAAACCGAGUCUUAAUUGGGCGUUAAGUUGCAGGGUAUAGACCCGAAACCCGGUGAUCUAGCCAUGGGCAGGUUGAAGGUUGGGUAACACUAACUGGAGGACCGAACCGACUAAUGUUGAAAAAUUAGCGGAUGACCUGUGGCUGGGGGUGAAAGGCCAAUCAAACCGGGAGAUAGCUGGUUCUCCCCGAAAGCUAUUUAGGUAGCGCCUCGUGAAUUCAUCUCCGGGGGUAGAGCACUGUUUCGGCUAGGGGGCCAUCCCGGCUUACCAACCCGAUGCAAACUGCGAAUACCGGAGAAUGUUAUCACGGGAGACACACGGCGGGUGCUAACGUCCGUCGUGAAGAGGGAAACAACCCAGACCGCCAGCUAAGGUCCCAAAGUCAUGGUUAAGUGGGAAACGAUGUGGGAAGGCCCAGACAGCCAGGAUGUUGGCUUAGAAGCAGCCAUCAUUUAAAGAAAGCGUAAUAGCUCACUGGUCGAGUCGGCCUGCGCGGAAGAUGUAACGGGGCUAAACCAUGCACCGAAGCUGCGGCAGCGAACGUAUCACUUAAAGCGAUUCAGCG